UACGUAGGGUGCGAGCGUUGUCCGGAAUUACUGGGCGUAAAGAGCUCGUAGGUGGUUUGUCACGUUGUCCGUGAAAACUCACAGCUCAACUGUGGGCGUGCGGGCGAUACGGGCAGACUGGAGUACUGCAGGGGAGACUGGAAUUCCUGGUGUAGCGGUGGAAUGCGCAGAUAUCAGGAGGAACACCGGUGGCGAAGGCGGGUCUCUGGGCAGUAACUGACGCUGAGGAGCGAAAGCGUGGGGAGCGAACAGG
rnacentral:rRNA from 1 species